rnacentral:rRNA from 1 species
GAUGAACGCUGACAGAAUGCUUAACACAUGCAAGUCACUUGAAUUUGGGUUUUUUAACUUAGAUUUGGGUGGCGGACGGGUGAGUAACGCGUAAAGAACUUGCCUCACAGCUAGGGACAACAUUUGGAAACGAAUGCUAAUACCUGAUAUUAUGAUUAUAAGGCAUCUUAGAAUUAUGAAAGCUAUAUGCGCUGUGAGAGAGCUUUGCGUCCCAUUAGCUAGUUGGAGAGGUAACGGCUCACCAAGGCGAUGAUGGGUAGCCGGCCUGAGAGGGUGAACGGCCACAAGGGGACUGAGACACGGCCCUUACUCCUACGGGAGGCAGCAGUGGGGAAUAUUGGACAAUGGACCAAGAGUCUGAUCCAGCAAUUCUGUGUGCACGAUGACGUUUUUCGGAAUGUAAAGUGCUUUCAGUUGGGAAGAAAAAAAUGACGGUACCAACAGAAGAAGUGACGGC